rnacentral:tRNA from 1 species
GUGGCAGUAGCUCAGUUGGCAGAGCGGGGGACGCAAUCCCUAUGUCGGCGGUUCAAGUCCGACCUGCUGUCU